rnacentral:rRNA from 1 species
AGGACGAACGCUGGCGGCGUGCCUAACACAUGCAAGUCGAGCGAGAUCCAUCCAGUGGCAACACUGGUGAAGAUCUAGCGGCGAACGGGUGAGUAACACGUGAGAAACCUGCCCCGGAGACCGGGAUAACUCGAGGAAACUCGAGCUAAUACCGGAUACCCCCACCGAACCGCAUGAUUUGGUGAGGAAAUGCUCCGACGCUCCGGGAGGGUCUCGCGGCCUAUCAGCUAGUUGGUGAGGUAAUGGCUCACCAAGGCUAAGACGGGUAGCUGGUCUGAGAGGACGAUCAGCCACACUGGGACUGAGACACGGCCCAGACUCCUACGGGAGGCAGCAGUGGGGAAUCUUGCGCAAUGGGCGAAAGCCUGACGCAGCAACGCCGCGUGGGGGAUGAAGGCUCUCGGGUUGUAAACCCCUUUCAGGAGGGACGAAAAAUGACGGUACCUCCAGAAGAAGCCCCGGCCAACUACGUGCCAGCAGCCGC